rnacentral:rRNA from 1 species
UACGAAGGGGGCGAGCGUUGUUCGGAUUUACUGGGCGUAAAGGGCGCGUAGGCUGCCUUGUCAGUCAGGCGUGAAAGCCCCGGGCUCAACCUGGGAACGGCGCUUGGGACGGCGAGGCUGGAGUUCGGGAGAGGAGAGUGGAAUUCCCAGUGUAGAGGUGAAAUUCGUAGAUAUUGGGAAGAACACCGGUGGCGAAGGCGGCUCUCUGGACCGACACUGACGCUGAGGCGCGAAAGCGUGGGGAGCAAACAGG